UUCAUCUUGUCGGAGUGCCAACGGUCAUCGACCCACGGCUGAGAUCGCAAUUGCGAAAUCCGCAGAACCUGAUCCGGUUAAUACUGGCGUAGGAAUCAAGAUUCUGCUCAGC
rnacentral:ncRNA from 2 species